AAAAACUUAGGAUAUUUAAACCAAAAGCCUUCAAAGCUUUUAAAAAGGGUGUAAACCCYWW
rnacentral:tRNA from 1 species